CAAGGAAUCUUCCGCAAUGGGCGAAAGCCUGACGGAGCAACGCCGCGUGUGGGAUGACGCCUUUCGGGGUGUAAACCACUUUUCUCAGGGAAGAAGCACUGACGGUACCUGAGGAAGAAGGACCGGCUAACUACGUGCCAGCAGCCGCGGUAAUACGUAGGGUCCGAGCGUUGUCCGGAGUUACUGGGCGUAAAGCGCGCGCAGGCGGCGGUGUAAGCAUGGCGUGAAAGCCCCAGGCUCAACCUGGGAGGGUCGUCGUGGACUGCACCGCUUGAGGGCGGUAGGGGCUGGUGGAAUGCCUGGUGUAGUGGUGAAAUGCGUAGAGAUCAGGCGGAACACCCGUGGCGAAGGCGGCCAGCUGGGCCGUCCCUGACGCUGAGGCGCGAAGGCGUGGGGAGCGAACGGGAUUAGAUACCCCCGUAGUCC
rnacentral:rRNA from 1 species